rnacentral:rRNA from 1 species
AAGAAAGUAAAUAAGAGCGUAUGGGGGAUGCCUUGGCUCUCAGAGACGAAGAAGGACGUGAUAAGCUGCGAUAAGCUUCGGGGAUUCGCAAAUAGGAAUUGAUCCGAAGAUUUCCGAAUGGGGCAACCUGCAUGAUUGAAGAUCAUGGAUUCCGCCAAGCGGAAGGUCAACCCGGGGAACUGAAACAUCUAAGUACCCGGAGGAAAAGAAAACAAAAGUGAUUCCCUUAGUAGUGGCGAGCGAAAAGGGAACAGCCCAAACCGUAGCAGUUACGGCUGCUGCGGGGUUGUAGGACUGCGAUAUCCAAAUGUAAAUGAACUUGAAUUACUUGGGAAGGUAAGCCAUAGCGGGUGAAAGCCCCUUAAGGGAAAGUUUACAAGCGGUAGCAGUAUCCUGAGUAGGGCGGGACAAGUGAAAUCCCGUCUGAAACUGCCGGUACCAUCCGGUAAGGCUAAAUACUCCUGAGAGACCGAUAGUGUACAAGUACUGUGAAGGAAAGGUGAAAAGUACUCCGAAUAGGAGGGUGAAAUAGAACCUGAAACCAUACGCUUACAAGCGGUGGGAGCCCUUUCGUGGGGUGACCGCGUGCCUUUUGCAUAAUGAGCCUACGAGUUACUCUUCACUGGCAAGGUUAAGUAUUUAAUGUACGGAGCCGGAGCGAAAGCGAGUCUGAAUAGGGCGUGCAGUCAGUGGAGGUAGACGCGAAACUUUGUGAUCUACCCAUGGUCAGGAUGAAGGAUCGGUAACACGAUCUGGAGGUCCGAACUAGUAAACGUUGAAAAGUUUUUGGAUGAACUGUGGGUAGGGGUGAAAGGCCAAUCAAACUGAGAAAUAGCUCGUACUCCCCGAAAUGUUUUUAGGAACAGCCUCGGGAUAGAGUCUUGAAGAGGUAGAGCUACCAAUAGGACUAGGGGGAGUCACAUCCUACCAAAUCCUGAUGAACUCCGAAUGCUUCAAGAUAUGCCCGGGAGUGAGGGCUUGGGUGCUAAGGUCCAAGUCCGAGAGGGAAAGAACCCAGACCUUCAGCUAAGGUCCCAAAAUCUACACUAAGUUGAACUAAGGCGGUUCAGUUGCAUUGACAGCCAGGAUGUUGGCUUGGAAGCAGCCAUUCAUUUAAAGAGUGCGUAACAGCUCACUGGUCGAGCGACAGAGCAUCUAUAAUAAUCGGGCAUCAAGUGUAGUACCGAAGCUAAGGCCCAGCAAUGGGGGUAGGGGAGCAUUCUAAUAAUGAUGAAGGUAUCUCGUAAGGGGUGCUGGAGAGAUUAGAAAAGCAAAUGUAGGCAUAAGUAACGACAAGGCAGGUGAGAAACCUGCCCACCGAUAGACUAAGGUUUCCUGAUCAACGCUAAUCGGAUCAGGGUUAGUCAGGACCUAAGGCGAACCCGAAAGGGGUAGUCGAUGGAUAAUCAGUUAAUAUUCUGAUACUACCUUCAUGAGUGAUGGGGUGACGGAGUAGUGAAAGACCCGCGUACUGACGGAAUAGUACGUUAAAGCCCGUAGGUAUAGGAGGGAUAGGCAAAUCCGUUCUUCCUGCUGAAAGGUGAUAGUACCACAAUGCUUCGGCAGCGUGGAUAGUGGUCCUAAUCAGACUUCCAAGAAAAACCUCUAAACAUAUGAUGAAGGUACCUGUACCGCAAACCGACACAGGUAGUCAAGGAGAGAAUCCUAAGGUGCUCGAGUGAAUCAUGGCUAAGGAACUCGGCAAAAUGGCCCUGUAACUUCGGGAGAAGGGGCGCUUCCUCCAGCAAUGGAGAAGCCGCAGUGAAAAGGCCCAGGCGACUGUUUAACAAAAACACAUGGCUUUGCGAAAUCGAAAGAUGAAGUAUAAGGCCUGACACCUGCCCGGUGCUGGAAGGUUAAGGGGGGAUGUUAGGGGCAACCCGAAGCAUUGAACUGAAGCCCCAGUAAACGGCGGCCGUAACUAUAACGGUCCUAAGGUAGCGAAAUUCCUUGUCGGGUAAGUUCCGACCUGCACGAAUGGUGUAACGAUCUGGGCGCUGUCUCAGCCAUGAGCUCGGUGAAAUUGUAGUAGCGGUGAAGAUGCCGCUUACCCGCCACGGGACGGAAAGACCCCAUGAACCUUUACUAUAGCUUUGCAUUGACUUUGGGUAAAUGAUGUGUAGGAUAGGUGGGAGGCUGCGAACCGGUAUCGCCAGGUAUCGGGGAGCCAACCUUGAAAUACCACCCUUUAUUUGCCUGGAGCCUAAUCCCUAGGUGGGAGACAUUGCAUGGUGGGUAGUUUGACUGGGGUGGUCGCCUCCAAAAAAGUAUCGGAGGCUUCUAAAGGUGCCCUCAGCACGCUUGGUAACCGUGCGUAGAGUGUAAUAGCAUAAGGGCGCUUGACUGUGAGACCGACAAGUCGAGCAGGGACGAAAGUCGAGUAUAGUGAUCCGGUGGUUCCGCAUGGAAGGGCCAUCGCUCAAAGGAUAAAAGGUACUCUGGGGAUAACAGGCUGAUCUCCCCCAAGAGCUCACAUCGACGGGGAGGUUUGGCACCUCGAUGUCGGCUCGUCACAUCCUGGGGCUGGAGAAGGUCCCAAGGGUUCGGCUGUUCGCCGAUUAAAGUGGCACGCGAGCUGGGUUCAGAACGUCGUGAGACAGUUCGGUCCCUAUCUGUGGUGGGCGUUGGAAAUUUGAGAGGACCUGACCUUAGUACGAGAGGACCGGGUUGGACAAGCCUCUGGUGUAUCAGUUGUGCCGCCAGGUGCACCGCUGAGUAGCUACGCUUGGAAGAGAUAAGCGCUGAAAGCAUCUAAGUGCGAAACUCGCCUCAAGAUGAGAUUUCCUUUAAGGGACGUCAGAGACUAUGACGUUGAUAGGCUACAGGUGUAAAGGCAGAGAUGCCAUAGCCGAGUAGUACUAAUUACCCGUAAGCUUUCUGUA